ACGAUCUUAUUUGAACAGGAUCUGUUCUAUAGGUUGUACGUCUGUAUCCUCGAACCGUAGUUUGGUGGAUGAACCACUGCCUUGUUGGCUGGGGCGUGAUUAAUGGUUCAACGGAUACUUCGUCUAGCGGCUGUAGAUGAUCGUUUUCCAGUGGGUUGGUCACAAGGCGAUCUGACAAACU